CUCACCAGGUCAGGACACGGUAAGGAUUGACGGACUGAAGGCUUCUUUCUCGAUUCCGUGGAAAGUGGUGCAUGGCCGUUUUGGUUGGUGGAUCGAUCCGUCUGGUUAAUUCCGUUAACGAACGAGACCUCGGCACUCCGAAUAGCGCGGCGGACGUCGCGGCCUCCGGGCCGUCUUCCGCACGAGCUUCUUAGAGGGACCGUCCCCCGCCGGGGAAGGAGGUGCGAGGCAACGACAGGUCUGUGAUGCCCUUAGAUGUUCUGGGCCGCACGCGCAUUACACUGACGCGUCCAACGGGUGACUCCCGACCCGAAGGGGCCGGGGAAUCCGCAAGGCGCGUCGUGAUGGGGAUUGAACGUUGCAAUUGUUGUUCACGAACGAGGAAUUCCUAGUAGGCGCGGGUCAUCAACCCGCGCCGAUUACGUCCCUGCCC
rnacentral:rRNA from 1 species